AAGAAAAUGCCCCAGGCAUUCCUGUGGGGGCCGUCGCCGGCAUCGUGACCGGGGUCCUGGUCGAAGUGGCGCUGGUGGCCGCCCUGGUGUGUUUCCUGCUCUUUGCCAAAACUGGAAGUGAGGGGGAUUUGCAGGCUCCAGAUCCUGGGCACCAUCAUACAAUGGGGAGUGGACCAGCCUGGACAGGCUGGGUGGGGUCAGCGCCCCCCAUGGCUGAUGUGGUAACCAUAGGCCCUGAGGUGUGAGAUGGGAGAACCUGGGCCUCAGAACAGCAUGUCCUGGAGCAUCCUUUGUGUCUCUUGCCAAGGGGUUGAGAGAGAGGACAAGGACACUGUCCCAUUUCAGCCCUGAGUGCAGGGUCUGGCCACAGCAGGGACACUGAGUUCCAGGAGAAUCCAAGACACUUGCGGUCCCCUCCGUGUCCUGCACAUGUGGCCCUGCUUUCCCUCUGGGGACUUGACCCUUCCUCUCAGGCAAACCGUCAUGGUCUGUUUCCUUCCUUGGGUCCUCAUUCCCUUUCCUGGGUCCCUGGGUCAAUGUUCUCCUGGCCCGGCAUCUGCCUGAGGGUCCUUCCCCUCUGCUCAGGACAGAUGUGACUUCCUAAAGCCUUUCCUCAACUCCCCUCUGCUGGGCUCCCCCUAACACAAACCUGAGGGAGACAGGAGGUCUCCAUGCCCAUCCUUGAAAAUGGGGUUCCCUUCUUGUCCCCUGUUCUAACUCCAAAGUUGUGGCUUUUAACCCGGCACCCUCCCAAAUGACCCUGACCUUUCCUAGAACCAGCAUCCAGCGUGACCUCAAGGAGCAGCAGCCCCAAGCCCUUGCCCCUGGUGAGUGUCCUCUC
rnacentral:sRNA from 1 species